rnacentral:rRNA from 1 species
UAUGUGAUCGUCUCUCGCAUAUCAAUAAGCGGAGGAAAAGAAACUAACAAGGAUUCCCCUAGUAACGGCGAGUGAAGCGGGAAGAGCUCAAAUUUGAAAUCUUAAAGGGUUUCCCUUUACGAAUUGUAGUUUAAAGAAGUGUUUUCUGUUGAGGUUUUGGUAAAAGUUCUUUGGAAUAGGACAUUAUAGAGGGUGAGAAUCCCGUAUUUGACCUUUACUUUCAACUUUGUGAUACACUUUCAAAGAGUCGGAUCGUUUGGGAAUGCAGUCCAAAAUGGGUGGUAAAUUUCAUCUAAAGCUAAAUAUUGACGAGAGACCGAUAGCGAACAAGUACCGUGAGGGAAAGAUGAAAAGAACUUUGAAAAGAGAGUUAAACAGUACGUGAAAUUGUCAAAAGGGAAGCGUUUGACACCAGUGUUGUUUUUCUGAAAAUCAAUUAAAGAACUGUUUAUGCUAAGUUGUUUAGACUUUAUCAGCUAACUGUUUAGUUUUGAGCUUUUCUUUAAUGCACUUUUCAGUUAACAAGUCAACAUCAAUUUCUUUUGCUGUAAAAAAGCUUGAGGAAGGUGGCUUGAGAUUCGUCUUAAGUGUUUAUAGCCUCUUGCCUAUGCAGUCGGAGAGAUUGAGGUCUGCAGCGUAGAUCCUUCGGGGCUAAAUGCAUUUGUGCUAAGUUAUAGCAUUUUAUAGGACAACUUGUUGACUAUGAUUUGUCUUGUAGCUUACUCGCUUAUGUUAUUUUACCUACGCUUAGGAUGUUGAUCUACAGAGCGAGAGU